CAAGGUCAAAAAUUUUGUUUCAGUAGACAGCCUGAUGUCCUAUUGUAAAGAUACAAAUUUUUGAGAUACAAUAUGCAGCAAGUAAACUAAAUUUGGUGUAUGGAAAGAUUGAAAGGUGAACACGUCUGUAUGGUAGGGUUCAUUUACCUUAUUUUCAUGGUUCAUUUAAACGGAAGAAAAAAAAAACCACAAAAAAAAGCAACUAAACAUGUUUUGAAAUUUUAUUUUCUAUUAUUUCCAUUUAACAACUAUUACAAAACCUAAUGAACAGGUAACAAACACAUAUAAAAUAUAUAUUUCAGAAAGUACAUAUCAGAAUGUGGUGUAAAAUGUAUAGUGUACCUGUUAUAAUAAAUAUUCUGUAAAGCAGGGGAUAUGGCCCCUUUUGAGACCCUAAAAUAAACAAGAAUGUGUCCAUAGUACACGGAUGCCCCACUCGCACUAUCAUUUUCUAUGUUUAGUGGACCAUGAAAUUAAGGUCAAAACUUUAAUUUGGAAUUAAAAUUAGAAAGAUCAUAUCAUAGAUAACAUGUGUACUAAGUUUCAAGUUGAUGUAACUUAACUUCAUCAAAAACUACCUUGACCAAAAACUUUAACCUGAACUUCGCACUAUCACUUUCUAUGUUCAGUGGACCAUAAUAUUGGGGUCAAAACUAUAAUUUGGCAUUAAAAUUAGAAAGAUCAUAUCAUGGGGAACAUGUGUACUAAGUUUCAAGUUGAUUGGACUUCAACUUCAUCAAAAACUACCUUGACCAAAAACUUUAACCUGAAGCAAACGGACGCACGGACAGACGGAUAGACGAACGAACAGAAGCACAGACCAGAAAACAUAAUGCCCCUCUACUAUUGUAGGUGGGGCAUAAAAAAGUAUGAUAAAUCUAUCAAAUAACAUCCUUAGUUGUCCAUAACACAUUAGACUGUCUGAUAUCAGUAUUCAUAUUCUUUAAUUUUGUUCCUUUAAAUGCUAAAAUGUGAAAUCUUACCUCAUGUUUAGAGAUAGUCAUCAAUAUUUUCUUUACAUAUGAGCUAAGCCUUACCCAAUAUUUAAUAAUUUUAUAUCAAUGAGACUGAUUAGGUCUGACCAAUAUUACAAACAAGCAUUAUUUACCAGAAAAUUUUAAAAUCACUGCUGCAAAACAUUAUAAAUUCUCCUGCAUAAUAUCUCUACUUAAAAUCUUCUUUAAUUUGCAGUAUUUAAAAAAAGAAUAUCGGUAAAAAUUAGCAGGUUUCUAUAAAAAAUUUGAUACAUAAUCCUAAAUGUAUUUUUUUAU
rnacentral:lncRNA from 1 species